CCACAGAACUGUUCUUUGUUUGUCCUAACGUAUGUUGUAUGUAUCAGCUAUGUAGUGCAUCAGUGUCAUGUAUUGUGUUUUCAUACCUACUUUCUGAUUAUGCCAUGGGUAAUUUUACUUUCAUGGAAUAGUACCAUACACAAUAAGAAGCACUAUGAUAUAGACUUCAGGUUUUAUUUGUGCUGAGCUGUUUAUUACCUGUUUGCAGACUCACAAGCAACGAUGAUAUCUUCCACGUGAGAUGGAACCUCAGUAUAACCGUGACUUGGAUUUGCACAACUGCCAUUGCAUUGUUGAUACAUCCCGGAUAUCUUGCUUCCCACUCAAGUUGCUCCGUUGGGCAGCAGUGUAGCCUACUAUUAUGCUUGCUUUGGUUUUGUACAGAAAGUUCAUGGGUUGCAAUUUUUUAGAUGAAUAUUGAAAUUCUUGGAGAACUAUACUGCUAUUGUUUGUAUCUCUGAAUUUUGGGAGGUGUUAGUUUUGUCUUUUAUCAAGCAGAAACUAUGAAAAACUCCAGAUUGCCUUGAA